AUUGAACGCUGGCGGCAUGCUUUACACAUGCAAGUCGAACGGCAGCGGGGGCUUCGGCCUGCCGGCGAGUGGCGAACGGGUGAGUAAUGCAUCGGAACGUACCCAGUCAUGGGGGAUAACUACGCGAAAGCGUAGCUAAUACCGCAUACGCCCUGAGGGGGAAAGCGGGGGAUCGCAAGACCUCGCGUGAUUGGAGCGGCCGAUGUCGGAUUAGCUAGUUGGUGGGGUAAAGGCCUACCAAGGCGACGAUCCGUAGCGGGUCUGAGAGGAUGAUCCGCCACACUGGGACUGAGACACGGCCCAGACUCCUACGGGAGGCAGCAGUGGGGAAUUUUGGACAAUGGGGGCAACCCUGAUCCAGCCAUGCCGCGUGAGUGAAGAAGGCCUCGGUUGUUAAAGCUCUUUCUAGACGGAAAGAAAAACGGACCCCUCCUAACUACGGGGGUGGAGUGACGGUACUGUCAGAAGAAGCACCGGCUAACUCGUGCCAGCAGCCGCGGUAAU
rnacentral:rRNA from 1 species